rnacentral:rRNA from 1 species
UACGGGGGGGGUAAGCGUUGUUCGGAAUUACUGGGCGUAAAGGGCUUGUAGGUGGCCAACUAAGUCAGACGUGAAAUCCCUCGGCUUAACCGGGGAACUGCGUCUGAUACUGGAUGGCUUGAGUGUGGGAGAGGGAUGCGGAAUUCCAGGUGUAGCGGUGAAAUGCGUAGAUAUCUGGAGGAACACCGGUGGCGAAGGCGGCAUCCUGGACCAUUACUGACACUGAAAAGCGAAAGCCAGGGGAGCAAACAGG